UACGAAGGUUGCAAGCGUCACUCGGAAUUACUAGGCGUAAAGGGCAGGUAGGUGGUUUGGUAAGUCUGUUGUGAAAGCUCCCGGCUCAACCGGGAGAGGCCAACGGAUACUACCAGGCUUGAGUAUAGGAGAGGUUACUGGAAUUCCCGGUGUAGCGGUGAAAUGCGCAGAGAUCGGGAGGAACACCAAUGGCGAAAGCAGGUAACUGGACUAUUACUGACACUCAACUGCGAAAGCUAGGGGAGCAAACAGG
rnacentral:rRNA from 1 species